rnacentral:lncRNA from 1 species
AUGAAUAACGAGAAGAAUAACUUAUGCGUAAAGUGGGGAGAACGCGGGGCCCGUUCAAGCGAGCGGACACAUCCACGCCGGCCUGAACAGCCUCCGCUCCGAGAGCAGCACGCACAGCACGCCGCCGGCACCUCUCCCCGUGCCGAACACACGCACCUCGCUGCCCUUCGCUGCAGUAACCCCAGGCCCUGCGGGCUGGAAGGACUGCGCCCCGCAGCUCGGCUCCAGCCCCGCACCGCCCUGCUUUGCCCAGGGCGCAGCCUGCGGGACGUCGCUACCGAGCGGCAUAAAUCCGCUGCGAAGCAAAUCCUGCUGCUACGAGGACAUCGGGCGGUAUUUUAUUUUAUUUUAUUUUUUAUCGGUGACUCUGGAAAGGACCGAAAUCGCCUAACUCCUUGUGCUCUUACACACGGGGUUUUGCACCCUGUGCCCGGCCCCGCCGCUCACACGGCCCCGCGCUGCCCCAGCAGCAUCACCUCGGAGCUCGGCGGGGUUUGGGGACGAAAGGGACGUUUCUGCAGGCCCCAAACUGUGUGCACUUUGUUUCCAUCUGCUAGAAGGGAAUCACCUUUUUUUUCCUUAAAAGGAAAAAAAAAAAGUGUUUAUUUUGCUCGCACCAAGCAGAGAGUCUACAUAACUGUUAGAAAUACAAAUUAUUCCGACAGUUACCCACUUUUUAGCAUUUUUUUACGCAUGUACGUCAUUAGUUUCAGAACCUAUCAAUACCUCUGCCCUGGUCAGGGGCUCUCCUGCUCUUUAUUUUCAAUAAACGCGGAGCGUUUGGAGCCUCCUUUUGCUUACUUCUGCACUUGGGGCAUCCCGGCAGCUGUCUGCGCGUCGCCCGGGGCUCGGGGCAGCGAAAGCCGCGCCCUGGAGGAGGAGAGGAGCCCGCUCAGCGCCCCCAAACCCUUCCCCCGGCCGGGGGGCUUUCCCCUCGCCGACCGCUGCCCGUUUGGACGGGGAACGAUUUUUUUCCGCCGCCUUUUCCACGCGACUUCUCGGGGCGUCCCCCUCCCCCGAGCCCUAGUAAGUAGCACAAGGACCAAACGCGCGCUCCCUGCCCCUUGCAGCCCGCAGCCAGCUCCCGGCGCGCCCCCGGCACGGCGCCGUCACCCCGACGGCGAUGCCCCGACGGGUGCCCGGGGCUGCGGGCUGAAGGACCGAGCACUGCCACACGCAUCCCUCCCCGGGCGGUUUGCUGCAGCCACCCGGCCCGAGCAGGCAGCCCGGCUGCUCCAGAGCCUCAAAUCCCGCUCGGACGCAGCCGGAGGUCGGUGCCGGGGCUCCUCUGCGUGCACACGGCGAAGAGGGCACGAGCGGUGA